GCAGGUACAGAGGGCAGCUACCCAGCAAUGGGAUGCGAAUCUCGAAAGCCUGUCUCAGUUCGGAUUGGAGGCUGAAACCCGCCUCCAUGAAGUUGGAUUCGCUAGUAAUCGCGCAUCAGCCAUGGCGCGGUGAAUACGUUCCCGGGCCUUGUACACACCGCCCGUCAAGCCAUGGGAGCCGGGGGCGCCUGAAGUCCGGGACCGCGAGGACCGGCCUAGGGCGAAACUGGUAACUGGGGCUAAGUCGUAACAAGGUACC
rnacentral:rRNA from 1 species